CAAAUGGAUUUUUUUAAAUCCAUAUUUUAUUUCAAUAAAACAUAA
rfam:Pelodiscus sinensis unplaced genomic scaffold scaffold189, whole genome shotgun sequence.